GUUCCCGUGCUGGGAAAACAGGUUUUGCAGCUGUUUGAGCUAAGAUUUCCAAGUUAUUCACAUAAUGAAAACCUAUACUUUGUUUCGGUCGAGUUCCCCAUUCAAAUGCAUGUAACAGUGAGAAACGCACUGUCUUGGCGAAAGAAAGCGUUUUUGUACAACUUCAUAGAAAUAGCUGUAACUUUUGAUAGAAGACUCAGACAAACAUGUUUAUGGCUUUAUCUUAUAGAACUCAAGGUCUCCGUGCUGGGAAAACAGGUUUUGCAGCUGUUUGAGCUAAGAUUUCCAAGUUAUUCACAUAAUGAAAACCUAUACUUUGUUUCGGUCGAGUUCCCCAUUCAAAUGCAUGUAACAGUGAGAAACGCACUGUCUUGGCGAAAGAAAGCGUUUUUGUACAACUUCAUAUAAAUAGCUGUAACUUUUGAUAGAAGACUCGGAUACACAUGUUUAUGGCUUUAUCUUAUAGAACUCAAGGUUCCCGUGCU
ensembl:lncRNA